AUUGAACGCUGGCGGAAUGCUUUACACAUGCAAGUCGAACGGCAGCACGGACUUCGGUCUGGUGGCGAGUGGCGAACGGGUGAGUAAUGUAUCGGAACGUGCCCAGUCGUGGGGGAUAACGUAGUGAAAAUUACGCUAAUACCGCAUACGAUCUAUGGAUGAAAGCGGGGGAUCGCAGGACCUCGCGCGAUUGGAGCGGCCGAUAUCAGAUUAGGUAGUUGGUGGGGUAAAGGCCCACCAAGCCAACGAUCUGUAGCUGGUCUGAGAGGACGACCAGCCACACUGGAACUGAGACACGGUCCAGACUCCUACGGGAGGCAGCAGUGGGGAAUUUUGGACAAUGGGCGAAAGCCUGAUCCAGCCAUUCCGCGUGCAGGAUGAAGGCCCUCGGGUUGUAAACUGCUUUUGUACAGAACGAAAAGGUUUCUACUAAUACUAGGAGCUCACGACGGUACUGUAAGAAUAAGCACCGGCUAACUACGUGCCAGCAGCCGCCGUAA
rnacentral:rRNA from 1 species